CUACUAGCACCUUGGACCUUGACUUUAGUCCAUUGAGAUCUUUGUCAAACUUUUAACCUACAGAACUACACUCAUGUUUGUGGUAAUUUGUUAUAGCAGCAGUAGAAAACUAAUACUGAGAGAAUUAAUCCACUGAAUAUCUGCAGGUAUCUGAGGUUAAUUAUUACCUAUUAUUUACAUUUUUAAUAUCAAGGCACGGAGAGGUUCAAUAACUAGGGGGGUGAGUCUGUAAAAGUGAGAAAGAGUAGUUAAUCCUGUUUAAGAAUUCUGAGAAGAAAAGAGGAGGGGGAUAUAGGACACUGGAAGGAUUGGCCUUAGAUAGGAAAGGGACAGUUCCUUUAUUAUAUCUGAAUGGAGUGAAAGGGAUGGGUGUAAGCUGAUAUAUUUGGUUUUAAGAAGUUGAGGAAAUUUCUGAGGGCUUCUGUAUUUUAUUCUCUCAUACGAAGUAGGAGUCAAGGUCGCCCUCUGAGCGUGGGGGAGGUGGUAAAAAUGUAGGCGAAGUCAGUGGCUGUGACAGUGGCACCGCAGCAGAGAAUCAGCAGUUUGAGAAGAGUGAAGAAGACUUGAAUAAUCAUUUUGGAGAACAGGAGAUUAAGUUACCCAGAGAAACAUCGUCAUAUUUUUGUCAGCCUCAAGGGCUCAUUUAAGGA
rnacentral:lncRNA from 1 species